rnacentral:lncRNA from 1 species
GACGCCCCAGCCGCCGAAGCAGGGGUGAUCAUGUGACUCGCGGGGGCGGGGCUGCGCCGGCCGCUUCCCAGCCCGGCUGAAAGGGCUCGCGUAGCCGGCCCUGUCGGCCCUUACAGCGGUCAGUGGGCGGCCUGGCCCCAGCUCCCCUCCCGAGCCGCGCAAAGGGAGCUGCUCCUGGCUCUCGUCCGCCCCCCAGGUUUGCUUUCCUUCCCUUCCCGAAGGUGGGCCCCGAGGUCCUCCGCCGCGGAGGCUGCGGCCGCCGGGAAGCCCAGAGCCGAGUGUCCGGAGACUAACCGGAAGUGCGGUCCCAGGCGGAGGGGCGGUGCCGGCGGCUGCCGGGGAGAGGGCAGAAUUGCGUGCUGUGAAUACUUAUGGACCAGAGACCUUUUGAAGCCAGAAGGAACACUGUCUCGAGUCUUUGUUGUUCCCAAGGCCGGCUGCCGAGAGAGACCGGAUUCGCGGGGCCAGGAAGCCAGGCGCUCUCCCAGCUAGCUCCCAGGGUUGAAAAUACCAAGUAAGGAAUUAGUGUAUAGGAUGCUGGAAACUUGUAGUGACGAACUGCUCAUGACUGAAAGGCCUAGAACAGAUGUAUCUUUCAAGUUCUUACCAAGAAAACAGCUAUGAAGAAAAUGAUGGGUCAAGAAGACCAGUGGAAAACUCC